rnacentral:rRNA from 1 species
GGGCCCGCACAAGCGGUGGAGCAUGUGGUUUAAUUCGAUGAUACGCGAGGAACCUUACCAGGGCUUAAAUGCAGAACGACCGGGGUGGAAACACCCCUUUCUUCGGACGGUCUGCAAGGUGCUGCAUGGUUGUCGUCAGCUCGUGCUGUGAAGUGUCGGGUUAAGUCCCAUAACGAGCGCAACCCCUAUUUCUAGUUGCCAGCGGUUCGGCCGGGGACUCUAGAGAAACUGCCAGCGUAAGCUGUGAGGAAGGUGGGGAUGACGUCAAAUCAUCACGGCCCUUACGUCCUGGGCCACACACGUGCUACAAUGGUGGGGACAACGAGUCGCAAACCCGCGAGGGUAAGCUAAUCUUCAAACCCCAUCUCAGUUCGGAUCGGAGUCUGCAACUCGACUCCGUGAAGUUGGAAUCGCUAGUAAUCG